rnacentral:rRNA from 1 species
UACGUAGGUGGCAAGCGUUGUCCGGAUUUACUGGGCGUAAAGGGCGUGCAGGCGGUCUGUUAAGUGCAGGGUGAAAGCUCCCGGCUCAACUGGGGAGAGGUCCUUGCAUACUGGCGGACUUGAGGGGGGUAGAGGAAAGUGGAAUUCCCGGUGUAGUGGUGAUAUGCGUAGAUAUCGGGAGGAACACCUGUGGCGAAGGCGGCUUUCUGGGCCCUACCGUCGACGCUGAGACGCGAAAGCGUGGGGAGCGAACCGG